UCUAUGAAGUUGCCUCUGACCUUACAUGA
rnacentral:piRNA from 1 species